rnacentral:rRNA from 1 species
AUUGAACGCUGGCGGCAGGCCUAACACAUGCAAGUCGAGCGGGGUUUUCGGACCUAGCGGCGGACGGGUGAGUAAUGCGUAGGAAGCUGCCCGAUAGAGGGGGAUACCAGUUGGAAACGACUGUUAAUACCGCAUAAUGUCUACGGACCAAAGUGUAGGACCUUCGGGCCACAUGCUAUCGGAUGCGCCUACGUGGGAUUAGCUAGUUGGUGAGGUAAGGGCUCACCAAGGCGACGAUCUCUAGCUGGUUUGAGAGGAUGAUCAGCCACACUGGAACUGAGACACGGUCCAGACUCCUACGGGAGGCAGCAGUGGGGAAUAUUGGACAAUGGGCGCAAGCCUGAUCCAGCCAUGCCGCGUGUGUGAAGAAGGCCUUCGGGUUGUAAAGCACUUUCAGCGAGGAGGAAGGGGUGUGUGUUAAUAGUACACACCUUUGACGUUACUCGCAGAAGAAGCACCGGCUAACUCUGUGCCAGCCGCCGCCGUAACAC